GGGCAGCGACCGGCUACACCGGGAUGUUCAUAACCCUUUGUUGUCCGACUCUGUUGCCUCCGGGGCGACCCUGCCUUCGGGCGGGGGCUCCGGGUGGACACUUCAAACUCUUGCGUAACUUUGCAGUCUGAGUAAACUUAAUUAAUAAAUUAAAACUUUUAACAACGGAUCUCUUGGUUCUGGCAUCGAUGAAGAACGCAGCGAAAUGCGAUAAGUAAUGUGAAUUGCAGAAUUCAGUGAAUCAUCGAAUCUUUGAACGCACAUUGCGCCCCCUGGUAUUCCGGGGGGCAUGCCUGUUCGAGCGUCAUUUCACCACUCAAGCCUCGCUUGGUAUUGGGCAACGCGGUCCGCCGCGUGCCUCAAAUCGACCGGCUGGGUCUUCUGUCCCCUAAGCGUUGUGGAAACUAUUCGCUAAAGGGUGCUCGGGAGGCUACGCCGUAAAACAACCCCAUUUCUAAGGUUGACCUCGGAUCAGGUAGGGAUACCCGCUGAACUUAAGCAUAUCAAUAAGCGGAGGAA
rnacentral:rRNA from 1 species